GAAUUUUGGAUAUCCAUUCAAUAAAAUCAGAACGAUACAGAGAAGAUUAACAUGGCUUCCUGCACAAGGAUGAGACACACACAAAUUGAAAAAUAGCCCAAAAACUU
rnacentral:snRNA from 1 species